rnacentral:lncRNA from 1 species
AUCCUGCGCCCCGGCGCGGGGCCCUGCGGUAGCCUCAGGCCCCUCCCCUGGACCCGCCGCAGAGCCAGUGCAGAAUACAGAAACUGCAGCCAUGACCACGCACGUCACCCUGGAAGAUGCCCUGUCCAACGUGGACCUGCUUGAAGAGCUUCCCCUCCCCGACCAGCAGCCAUGCAUCGAGCCUCCACCUUCCUCCAUCAUGUACCAGGCUAACUUUGACACAAACUUUGAGGACAGGAAUGCAUUUGUCACGGGCAUUGCAAGCGCAAGGCCAUCGAGCGGUUCUGCAGCGAGGUGAAGCGGCUGUGCCAUGCCGAGCGCAGGAAGGACUUUGUCUCUGAGGCCUACCUCCUGACCCUUGGCAAGUUCAUCAACAUGUUUGCUGUCCUGGAUGAGCUAAAGAACAUGAAGUGCAGCGUCAAGAAUGACCACUCUGCCUACAAGAGGGCAGCACAGUUCCUGCGGAAGAUGGCAGAUCCCCAGUCUAUCCAGGAGUCGCAGAACCUUUCCAUGUUCCUGGCCAACCACAACAGGAUCACCCAGUGUCUCCACCAGCAACUUGAAGUGAUCCCAGGCUAUG